rnacentral:rRNA from 1 species
CACACCGCCCGUCACACCAUGGGAGUUUGUUGCACCAGAAGCAGGUAGCUUAACCGCAAGGGGGGCGCUUGCCACGGUGUGGCCGAUGACUGGGUG